rnacentral:rRNA from 1 species
UAAUACAUGCAAGUCGAACGCGUCUCCGUUAAUGAUUUUAGGUGCUUGCACUUGAAAGAUUUAACAUUGAGACGAGUGGCGAACUGGUGAGUAACACGUGGGUAACCUGCCCUUGAAGUAGGGGAUAACACUUGGAAACAGGUGCUAAUACCGUAUAACAACCAAAACCACCUGGUUUUGGUUUAAAAGACGGCUUCGGCUGUCACUUUAGGAUGGACCCGCGGCGUAUUAGCUUGUUGGUAAGGUAACGGCCUACCAAGGCGAUGAUACGUAGCCGACCUGAGAGGGUAAUCGGCCACAUUGGGACUGAGACACGGCCCAAACUCCUACGGGAGGCAGCAGUAGGGAAUCUUCCACAAUGGACGAAAGUCUGAUGGAGCAACGCCGCGUGAGUGAUGAAGGGUUUCGGCUCGUAAAACUCUGUUGUUGGAGAAGAACAGGUGUCAGAGUAACUGUUGACAUCUUGACGGUAUCCAACCAGAAAGCCACGGCUAACUACGUGCCAGCAGCCGCGGUAAUACGUAGGUGGCAAGCGUUGUCCGGAUUUAUUGGGCGUAAAGCGAGCGCAGGCGGUUUUUUAGGUCUGAUGUGAAAGCCUUCGGCUUAACCGGAGAAGUGCAUCGGAAACCGGGAGACUUGAGUGCAGAAGAGGACAGUGGAACUCCAUGUGUAGCGGUGAAAUGCGUAGAUAUAUGGAAGAACACCAGUGGCGAAGGCGGCUGUCUGGUCUGUAACUGACGCUGAGGCUCGAAA